rnacentral:rRNA from 1 species
GAGGAAAGCUGGCGGCGUGCCUAAUACAUGCAAGUCGAGCGAACGGACGAGAAGCUUGCUUUUCUGAUGUUAGCGGCGGACGGGUGAGUAACACGUGGAUAACCUACCUAUAAGACUGGGAUAACUUCGGGAAACCGGAGCUAAUACCGGAUAAUAUUUUGAACCGCAUGGUUCAAAAGUGAAAGACGGUCUUGCUGUCACUUAUAGAUGGAUCCGCGCUGCAUUAGCUAGUUGGUAAGGUAACGGCUUACCAAGGCAACGAUGCAUAGCCGACCUGAGAGGGUGAUCGGCCACACUGGAACUGAGACACGGUCCAGACUCCUACGGGAGGCAGCAGUAGGGAAUCUUCCGCAAUGGGCGAAAGCCUGACGGAGCAACGCCGCGUGAGUGAUGAAGGUCUUCGGAUCGUAAAACUCUGUUAUUAGGGAAGAACAUAUGUGUAAGUAACUGUGCACAUCUUGACGGUACCUAAUCAGAAAGCCACGGCUAACUACGUG